rnacentral:lncRNA from 1 species
CUCCAAAUUGUAGGGUACCCCCUUUGGUUCACAUAAAGACAGGUCAUGUUUGGUUCAUACACGACCUUAAAUAUUGUUUGAGUCUAAUUUUUAGACCUGAUAAGACCCUAUCAUGAUUGGGUGUCAUACUGGAUGAACGGUCAGAUUCUGCUCAUCCCUACUAGCUAGCAAACAUGGAUGUCAAUGGAUCCGAUAGGAGAAACCGGUUAAAACCCAAUAACCCUUUCUUCUUUUUCUUUUUUAAAUUAAGAGUAUCUAUUUAAGAAACUAUUGUCAUUGUAAAUAUUUAGGAUUAACCUUGGUAUUUAGCAAUAACUUGU